rnacentral:rRNA from 1 species
UACAGAGACUGCAAGCGUUAUUCGGAGUUCACUGGGCGUAAAGGGUGCGCAGGCGGUUGGGUGUGUCAGAUGUGAAAUCCCGAGGCUCAACCUCGGAACUGCGUCUGAAACUACUCGACUAGAGUACUGGAGAGGGUAACGGAAUUCACGGUGUAGCAGUGAAAUGCGUAGAGAUCAUGAGGAAGACCAGUGGCGAAGGCGGGUCGUCUGGACAGUUCCUGACACUGAGGCACGAAGGCCAGGGGAGCAAACGGG